AGGUAGGGGCGUGCUAUCAUGCAAGUCGAUCGAGUUCUGAUAUUGAAAGGUGCUUGCAUCUUGAUUUAAUUUUGAACGAGUGGCGGACGGGUGAGUAACACGUGGGUAACCUGCCCUUAAGUGGGGGAUAACAUUUGGAAACAGAUGCUAAUACCGCAUAAAUCCAAGAACCGCAUGGUUCUUGGCUGAAAGAUGGCGUAAGCUAUCGCUUUUGGAUGGACCCGCGGCGUAUUAGCUAGUUGGUGAGGUAACGGCUCACCAAGGCAAUGAUACGUAGCCGAACUGAGAGGUUGAUCGGCCACUUUGGGACUGAGACACGGCCCAAACUCCUACGGGAGGCAGCAGUAGGGAAUCUUCCACAAUGGACGCAAGUCUGAUGGAGCAACGCCGCGUGAGUGAAGAAGGCUUUCGGGUCGUAAAACUCUGUUGUUGGAGAAGAAUGGUCGGCAGAGUAACUGUUGUCGGCGUGACGGUAUCCAACCAGAAAGCCACGGCUAACUACGUGCCAGCAGCCGCGGUAAUACAA
rnacentral:rRNA from 1 species